UACGUAGGGUGCAAGCGUUGUCCGGAAUUAUUGGGCGUAAAGAGCUCGUAGGCGGUCUGUUGCGUCGGCUGUGAAAACCCGGGGCUCAACCCCGGGCCUGCAGCCGAUACGGGCAGACUAGAGUUCGGCAGGGGAGACUGGAAUUCCUGGUGUAGCGGUGAAAUGCGUAGAUAUCAGGAGGAAUACCUAUGGCGAAGGCGGCUCUCUGGGACGGUACUGACGCUGAGACGCGAAAGCGUGGGGAGCGAACAGG
rnacentral:rRNA from 1 species